UCUCCGUAGGUGAACCUGCGGAGGGAUCAUUACAGAGUUCAUGCCCUACCGGGUAGAUCUCCCACCCUAUGUUAUUAUUACUUUGUUGCUUUGGCGGGCCGUUAGGCUCCGGCCCGACUACCGGCCCCGGCUGGUAAGCGCCCGCCAGAGGACCCAAAACCCUGAAUAUUAGUGUCGUCUGAGUACUAUAUAAUAGUUAAAACUUUCAACAACGGAUCUCUUGGUUCCG
rnacentral:misc_RNA from 1 species